UACGUAGGGGGCGAGCGUUGCCCGGAUUUAUUGGGCGUAAAGGGCGCGUAGGCGGCCACGCACGUCCGUUGUGAAAUCGCCCGGCUCAACUGGGCGGGGUCGGCGGAUACGGCGUGGCUGGAGCAAGCUAGGGGGCAAUGGAAUUCCCGGUGUAGUGGUGGAAUGCGUAGAUAUCGGGAGGAACACCAGUGGCGAAGGCGGUUGCCUGGAGCUUUGCUGACGCUGAGGCGCGAAAGCGUGGGGAGCAAACAGG
rnacentral:rRNA from 1 species